AAUCAGACAGUGCAGCAGCAUUGCAGUCUACUCUUUUUUUGGUCCGAAACUCAUCCAGCUCAUGUGUGGCUCUCUGAAGACUUGAAAUUAGGACAAAGGUUCCCCACACCUGCUCUCUACAAAGACAAAAGACGACGCCUGGGGUCCAUCACGUGAAUCGUGAGGAGGGGACGGGAGAGCCCUUUGGAGUAACCUUCAUCCUCAACAUCAUCAUCAUCAUCAUGCCAUGCAGGUCUGCCGGUGCAAACGUGUUACCUGGAUGGGCCUGAAUCCUCCCUUGAGAGCAGGAAAGAGAGAAAAGGCAAUUGCACUGAAAGCAGGCUAGGUGGCAGUGAUCAAAGUGAGGCUGCUACUGUUAGGAUUCUGCAUCGACCUACCGGGACAGGCCCCGAGGUGACGCACUUUCCCCAGAGGAGUCUACCUGCGACGCUUCAUUUCAUUAAAUGGACUCUCCCCCCCUCCCUAAAUGUGUUUUCUCAGAUGUUUUCCUUGCCAGGAUUGGGGGGGGGGUCUACACCAGGGGAUGACGUUUGUGAAUUGUGGGUCUGUGAAGCCUUUUGAGACUCUUCUGUGACUAAGGGCUACACAAAUAAACUUGACUACGGUCUACAAUACUGUAGUACAUUUUGUGACAAUCAAAUUCAGCACUCUGCAACACCAAGGCUGAAUUUAUGCUUCAAGUGAUAAUUCUGAUUUUCGGUUCUCAAGUUGCAUAAUUUGGAUGCACGUCAUGGCAGCGUGAAAAGAAAACAACACAUGAAUCUAACAGCUUUAGAUCGGAA